AAAGAAUGCUCUCAGCGAUCAGCUCAUUAACAAUAAAAUACGAAGGCCGUUCGCGGCUGGACUAUUUAUUACCCUUGUCUUUUGCGCACUUGUUGUUUCCUGGGCGGGUUCGCUCGCCACCAGGACCACAAUAUAAACCUUUUUUAUGCAGUUGCAAUCAGCGUCAGUAUAACAAAUGUAAAUCAUUUACAACUUUCAACAACGGAUCUCUUGGUUCUGGCAUCGAUGAAGAACGCAGCGAAAUGCGAUACGUAGUGUGAAUUGCAGAAUUCAGUGAAUCAUCGAAUCUUUGAACGCACAUUGCGCCCUUUGGUAUUCCAAAGGGCAUGCCUGUUCGAGCGUCAUUUGUACCCUCAAGCUUUGCUUGGUGUUGGGCGUUUUUGUCUUUGGCCCGCCAAAGACUCGCCUUAAAAUGAUUGGCAGCCGGCCUACUGGUUUCGCAGCGCAGCACAUUUUUGCGCUUGCAAUCAGCAAAAGAGGACGGCAAUCCAUCAAGACUCCUUCUCACGUUUGACCUCGGAUCAGGUAGGGAUACCCGCUGAACUUAAGCAUAUCAAUAAGCCGGAGAAAA
rnacentral:rRNA from 1 species